GUGCUCACUUUGGCAGCACAUAUACUAAAAAUUGGAAUGAUACAGAGAAGAUUAUCAUGGCCUCUGUGCAAGGAUGACACAUGUUUUUCUGGAGAGAAACCCUAUGAAU
ensembl:snRNA U6 U6 spliceosomal RNA